rnacentral:rRNA from 1 species
UACGAAGGGGGCUAGCGUUGCUCGGAAUCACUGGGCGUAAAGCGCACGUAGGCGGCUUUCUAAGUCAGGGGUGAAAUCCUGGAGCUCAACUCCAGAACUGCCUUUGAUACUGGAGAGCUUGAGUCCGGAAGAGGUGAGUGGAACUCCGAGUGUAGAGGUGAAAUUCGUAGAUAUUCGGAAGAACACCAGUGGCGAAGGCGGCUCACUGGUCCGGUACUGACGCUGAGGUACGAAAGCGUGGGGAGCAAACAGG